UGACAUGGAGCGAACCCCAAAAAUAACGUCCCAGUUCGGAUUGCAGGCUGCAACCCGCCUGUAUGAAGUUGGAAUCGCUAGUAAUCGCGGAUCAGCAUGCCGCGGUGAAUACGUUCCCGGGCCUUGUACACACCGCCCGUCACACCAUGAGAGUCGGGAACACCCGAAGUCCGUAGUCUAACUUUCACGAGAGGACGCGGCCGAAGGUGGGUUCGAUAAUUGGGGUGAAGUCGUAACAAGGUAAC
rnacentral:rRNA from 1 species